UAUAGUCACUACCUGUGAAACGAGAUUGACUUAAAGUGUAAAAGUGUUAAACACUACCUAUGUGUGUCUUUAUCUCGACUUAUAACGAGUACAUGUGAACCGGUACCGUAAGUCAAUUGACUUAUAAAGAUGAUGUCGUCCCGAGUCUUUGUUAUCACACGGAGUGUCGUAAACCUAAACUUGUACUUAAAGAAUCUAACUAAACGAAACUAUACUAUAUUCCUUUAUCAACAGACGCGCAUAUGAUUCCGGAAAAAACCAGUUACUCAACCUGGGUGUUAUGGACGAAGUACUAGUGUCGUUUCAUAUACUCCAACGGAGUGGCAUGGCUGACCGGUACCUUAAGUCAAGUCAAAGUCAGGCUCAAUGCCACCGACUGUCGAAGAAACGGAACGACGGACGCAAAAGGCGGGCUACCGCCUAAGUGCCAAGCAAGUAAAGCCUGAGCUUAAGUCCAAGAAGCAAAGGCUAAGCCAAAGUUAUAUACGACUGCUCUGCUAGGUGUGCCUUUCGAGCGGGGAACAGCGCAGGUUGGUUCGGCAGCUUGCAGCUAGCUCGCGGUACCGGCAGACGUUGACGUUGACGUUCUCUGGACGACGGCAGGAGCUGUGCUGCUGUGGCCGGUGCGCUGCUGGUGGGUUCCUGGUCUUUGCUGGCCGACGGUGUUCUCCUCCGCGUAGGCCUACCUAGUCGCCGUGGCUCCUGAUGCUCCUCUGCGCGCCGUAGCCGUUCCCGCCGAUCGAGGCCGUAGCAGCAGUUCCGUGCGGUGGCGUGGUGGCCGUUCUGGCACCGCUAGUUCAAGGAGCCGACGUGUCUCCUGGGGCGGCUGCCGUGAUCCCUCGAGGCCGCACUCCGGCCGACUGUCCUG
rnacentral:rRNA from 1 species